UUGGUUUUUUGCAACUCCGGUUAAUUCGGAAUGAGAAGAAGAUUAGCAUGGCCCCUGAGCAGGAAUGACACACAAAUUGAGAAAAAAAGGGGUAGGAUUUU